rnacentral:lncRNA from 1 species
AUGACACUGACUCUAGGGUCCCUGUGUCUGAGCUUCAGAAGUCGGAUGGACUCUGGCAGUAGAACCGAGUAGUGCCAGCAGUUUAUCUGUAGUAAUCAUUCUAAUCAUUCCCAAAGAAAUUCUACUGAGGCUGAAAUUCAAGAGGUCUAAUCUCAAGGUAGUCAUGUCGACCAAGAAACAUAGCCAGUACCUAAAAGGUAAUUUCAAAAUAAUUAUUGAAUUCUUUAUUUGCCUUUGUCAAACACCAUGCUGUCAGCACACAGUCCACAGUCUCUUUUUGUACCCCUCUUGACUUUAUCCUAUAGCUUCUCAAGAAUUCUUUUCUCUAAAUCCUGAAAACCUUUUUUCCUAGAUAUAUCCCAUGUGCCUUUUUCCUUCUUCUCUUCUCCUCUUUCUCCCAAUUCUGUAUUCCCUAACUCUAAAGAAGCAUCUGGCAAUGACAAGAACCUCCCGGAGUACCCAGGGGCAAGGGCAAUGCUGGGAAGGCAUUAGCAACAGCCUCCACCAAACGUCCCCGAGUGGAAGCUUGCUAAGUCAGGAAGAGCCUGUGUAACUUGGAAGACUUGUGGGAAAUUCUGGAAGCUCGGGAAAGAUAAAACUUAUUCAUAAAAAUGUAUAGUUCAUUCUCAUAUGUAAAGAUCAUAGAUACCUCGGAGGGAACUUUAGAGGCAUGUCAUUUUCAGGAAUGUUUUAUCCACGUUGCUUUGAGCCUCCAUUACUAAACCACACAGCAAAUUGUCUCAGCCCUGAGCUCCAGAAGGACCUGGGUUUGGAAUUCCUCGGUUCUGCAGGUCAGGAGGGAGCUGUUUUGGCAGUGCAAAACAGGGAAGCUGGCACGGUGGCUGUCUGCACUGUGUUGAUCUUUUGGAGGAAAUACUGCAAGAAGGAUGCCCAUGGCACUUUGAACGUUCCGGAUCCACCAAUAUCAGAAAGGUCUCUUAAUUCUAUGUCAGAAAUGCCUAAGAACCUGAAAAAAGUCUGA